GACGAACGCUGGCGGCGUGCUUAACACAUGCAAGUCGAACGGAAAGGCCCUGCUUUUGUGGGGUGCUCGAGUGGCGAACGGGUGAGUAACACGUGAGUAACCUGCCCUUGACUUUGGGAUAACUUCAGGAAACUGGGGCUAAUACCGGAUAGGAGCUCCUGCUGCAUGGUGGGGGUUGGAAAGUUUCGGCGGUUGGGGAUGGACUCGCGGCUUAUCAGCUUGUUGGUGGGGUAGUGGCUUACCAAGGCUUUGGCGGGUAGCCGGCCUGAGAGGGUGACCGGCCACAUUGGGGCUGAGAUACGGCCCAGACUCCUACGGUAGGCAGCAGUGGGGAAUAUUGCACAAUGGGCGGAAGCCUGAUGCAGCAACGCCGCGUGCGGGAUGACGGCCUUCGGGUUGUAAACCGCUUUCGCCUGUGACGAAGCGUGAGUGACGGUAAUGGGUAAAGAAGCACCGGCUAACUACGUG
rnacentral:rRNA from 1 species